rnacentral:lncRNA from 1 species
UCGUUUUGGUAGCAAUAGUAGAAAGUCAAACUCCAGGCUUCUGUCUACUGUGGCUGAUACAAUGUAGUUUUGAACAUAUGCUCACAUCUUCCUAGGCACAAGCAGGCAGCAAUUAGGAGACACUAUCAAACACCACCUGCCAAAAUGAGGAAAUGCACCCAACUUCCCGUGUGGACCCUUGCAGGAUGGGUGAAUUGGGAAAAGAGGAACUGGUACAGACAAGAUGAUGGGGCUCCAUUUUAACUGGACAGAGAGGUAUAGAAAGUGGAGGCUGGAGAGUGCUGAAGACAGAAGAUCAUGGGAACCAGAGGUCUUAGAAUAUUUAGCCAACCUUCCCUUUUUAUCGCUGUAGUAAAUUGAAUAUUUUUGUGUAAUGAGCGUAGGCAGUUUUAGGCAUGGCACAUAGGAUCAGGGUGCUGUGAGAAAGUUUCUUUCUUUCCUGGGGACUUUUUAGAUCACAGUGUCCAGUACUUGCCAGACAACUCAGAGACUCCUCACUACUCACCAUGUGUCAAAUCUAAGUCCAAGAAUUGAGCUAACCCAAAGUGAAGAAUUUAUAGGAUAAAAAGGAAUUAAAAGUCAACUCAGAUAAUCUGGAAAAGGAAAUGUAGUUACCCUUUAUAAUACAGAAAAUUUUAAAAAUUAUUUGUAAAGGACAAGAACAUACAAAUAUAGCUAGAAUUAAUGCCCACUAUCUGUCCAUGUAGUACAUAUAUUUACAGUUACCAUGGAAACAGCAUUUAGAAAUUAGUAAAAAUUAAGUAAAUGGAAGGCAGAUGGUGAGAGCCAGGUGGUAUCUCUCACCUGGGAGUGGGAGGUGGGAGUGGGAGAGUGGGAGGUUACAGAUCAACAAGCAGAGAGGCCUGGAGUGACCCAUGUGGUAAUGGGUUAGAGUCAAAGACAUCAGUAUGAACCUAUGCUCCGCUUAACUCAGACAUAGAUGGGUAACGCUAGACAUACGUAGGCACAUGUGUGUAUACAGAAAUUGGUAUACACACAUUCAUUUCCUUGCUCUGUCAGCUGAGAGUGCCUAGAAGCACUGAAACGCUGGUAGCAGUGAGCACGGCUAGUGUUCAGACCUUGGUUUCUAAUACCAUUCUGAAAUAGGGACUCAGACUUUUCCAACAUAUACAACUUUUAUUUCUUUU